GUAACAGUUGUCACUUCGAUGCUUCACUGCCAACUCAAUUUCCAUUCUCCCGCUGAUAUAACAAAUAUUAUGUGACAUUUUAACUGAAAAUAUCUGUAAAUGGGCGUCUGAGUGUGGUGUGUUUCUUUAAAAGGGAAGGAAAACAAUUAUUAGCUUUUCAUUAUUCAUCUCGGAGGCAUGUUUGAUCAGUAAUUACUCCAAUUUUAUAUUUGGAAAAGAAUGAACCAGGGUCCCAUGAGGUCUUGGAUUUGGAGGUUCUAGGUUCCGAUCCAGCCUCUCCAGAUGAACCUCACAACUUUGGCUCAGCAAUCAGGAGCUUAUCCCAAAACUCUCCCACAGCAAAGGGAGCCCUGCCCCACCCUCCAUUGGCAUUGCUGCCCCACCCCUUCUUUUCCCAGUGUGCUCAUCUCUCUUAUGGGGUGGGCCUGAGAGAGAACAGAUAAAGCUCCUGUUCUCCACUAUGGCUACCUUUUAUGACACUCCCACCUGUCCAAAUAGCAGAUUCAUUCAGAGAGCAAGUCAGAAAUACCUCAUGAGCAGGAGGUGCACCUUGCAAAUCUAUUCUGGUGAGGACCUGAAUGAAAACCUUUUCCUCAGCCCCAUGGUGUCGCUUUCAAACAGGUAUCCUGCAGGGACCCCCACUUCCAGCCAUUUCAAGGUCACUUCCUGCCUUGACAGGAGAGGUACAUCUAGCAUAGGCAAUGCACACAUGAAGUAUUUCUCUACUGGUGUGAGUGUGCACACAAUGCUUAGUGCUCAGGAGGUUCUGGGCAGGGUAUGAGAC
rnacentral:lncRNA from 1 species